UGCUACACGGAGAAAGCAGAAAGAGAGAGACAGAGUCUAAGAAAGAUACACAAUCUAUCACAAAGAGAGACAGAGUUCGUACGGUGUUAAGAGAGAAAUAUCUAAGUUCCACCGUUAUGGUCAUUUUUUCCGCCGCCAUCCGUUCCCUCGCCAAACUCAGAACACCGAAACCACAGGCGCACACAAGAAUUGAGAUUGAGGAAGAGAAAUUUAAGUUUCAUUAACUCAGUCGAUCUGGCCAUUUACCUGCCAUCAUCAGAUCGCCGAAACUACCACCGCAAAUGUAGAAGCCACAGAAACAGUUUCAUUCUUGGUCUACACCAUUGAGAGAUCAGCAAAAUCUUAAGCAACUUGGAGUCAACAAGCCUACAGCUCUUGCUUUUAUGCUCUUUGCUUUCAUGUGGAGGGUGGCACUGACAAAUUGUUACUUUCUAAUUGGAAGAGUUAAGAGUUCCAAUAUGGAAUAUAGGUCUAACGCAGAAGAUUAACCUCAAGUCGAACAGUGGACCUGUCAAGGUGACUGGUGAUGUUUCAAUUCAUCCGAGUGAAAUAGAGCUGGCACUUUAGUGCAUCAUGGCCAAAAUAUGGCUAAUCUAACUAAAUUGUUUUUUGGUUAAAGAGAUCUUAGACUUAAUUUUCUGCUAUUGGGGAAUUUUGAACUUUUGGCAUUGUUAUUGAACCUGACUCUAUAUUACACAAUUGUCAUUUUUGUUUUUUUGAAGUGAUUGACAUUAACAAGCCUUUAUUAAAAAUAUUAACUGUUGUACAUCA